rnacentral:lncRNA from 1 species
UUUCACUAAAUUUCACCAUCAAAAUUCUGCUUCUUUCACUCAAUCUCAGCAGAUCCCAACCCUGCAUACCUUCAAAUCAAAGAACACCAUGGGAGUUCCCUGGUGUACUGAAUAUGGCUCACACACACUUCUGGGCUCAAGAAAAACGCUCGGAAUCGAAGGAAUCGCUAGGUAUAUGACCCGAAACUUGAAUCUAGACUAGGCAGAAUAUUGUUCGGACUAUAACUUGAUUCGUGGGUGUUGGAUUGAGAUGAAAUUUGGUGUGAUGGUUAAGGGUAGUGUCAGGAAGG